UCUCUCCCCCCUCGCCCUCUCUCUCAUUCUCUCCCUCCUCCUCCUCUCGGUGAGUCUCUAGGUGAGUCAAAAGCAGCCCCGAAUCAGGAAGUAGGAUGCCGUGACAGACAUUAGUAGGCAGAAGGAAAUGGGCACCACCACCACACAAUGUCACUAUGUCUGCUGCUGCCCCUGUCCAUGGUAACACAAGGACGAGAGGGAGGAGAGGCCACAGGGAAAUGACCCCAUCGUCGAUCAUGUUGCUGCUGGCUCUGACAGCCUGCCUGGCAGGGACUGGUAGUGUUCUGCCAGGGUGAUGAGACACAAAUACUGUUGAAGAAACACAAACAGAAAAUGAUGCUGGGUUCUCAGUGAUCCCAACUGUAAGUGACGCUACCCCUACACCAGACUCAUACCUAUCAUCUGAGAGUCCUUCAGAGGGAUAUGAGACUGAAGCUGAAUCUGGUUCUGGAUUCAGUACAGGUGUCAAUUCAGAAGGGGAGGAUCAGCUCAAAUCCUCUGAAGCACCACUGGAGGACAGUCUGAGUCUCACCUUCGUCCUGGUUCCUGUUGUGCUGGUGGUCGUGAUAAUCGCCAUGGUAGUGGGCGUAGUCAUAAUCAACCGCAGAUGGAAUCGGAAAGAAAAGAGCAAUUCUGAUCAUGUAGAAGAGGAUAAAUAUUUGCAUGGUAGCGAUGACACAGAAAACGUUCCAAUGCCCAUGUUUGAGGAUGAUGUCCCCUCUGUGUUGGAGCUGGAGAUGGAAGACCUGGAACAGUGGAUGAAUAAAGAUGGUGGAGUUCGAAUGGACUCUGGACAAGGGAUCUAACAUGAGAUCAUGGCUAGUCCCUAAAGAGUCAUGGAGUCAGUCAAUUCUCUCUCCCAACCGUCCUCUUGCUGUACUGCCGGUGACAAAGGACAUUUCCCCAUCGCAGGGAAGGACAUUCUGUUACCCAGCAGCACUGCAGGCUUCUUCUAUUCAUGUCAAUGUCAAGGCAAUGUCAUCAACCGACCACAUUGACAAUGAGAAAGCAACACCUCCACCAAGGUGACUGCAAAAAAACAGGAAAUGCUGAAUUUAUUUUCCAUUUCAGCAUAAACAAAAGACAAGUAACAAUAAAUGCACAAGUUAAACGUUCUUAGAACGUAACAUCUUCAAAUCUGCACACUCCACCGUCAAUUGUACUGUGGUAUAGACUCUAUGGAGAAACAGUGUGUGGCAAUAGUCCUUUCACUACACGGAUCCUGAUUGUGGUCGGCCUAAUAAUGAAUGCUUUUUGCAACGCCAUCAACUCAGUACAGUGCCUUUUUAGUCAUUGUUUCAAGUUCAUAUACACUUUUUAUGUGAUUGUUUUAUUGUCUUUUGUAUUCAGCUGUCAUGCAGUGAGAGAAGGAAUCAGUGAGAGAGGAAGGAGUAAAACACAGGAGGUUGGUGGCACCUUAAUUGAGGAGGAUGCGCUCGGGGUAAUGGCUGGAGCAGAAUGAGUGGAAUGCUAUCAAAUACAUCAGACACUUGGUUUCCAUGCGAUUGAUGCCGUUCCAUUCGCUCCGUUCCAGCCAUUAUUAUGAGCUGUCCUCCCUUCAGCAGCCUCCUGUGGAGUAAAACGUAUAAAACUAUUGCUGAAAGCAGGUGUCGGUAGCCAUGUUCUGACACCCAGACAACAAUAUCAGAACUUGACCUCCAAAGAUCCUACAGGCCCUCCCCUUUACAACAUAAACACAUAUUCCAUGCCCACAGUAAAGCCAUACCAGAUGGUAUAUAGUCUUAUUCCAACGGCCAACUAACCCAGUCCCAUGACAGAUAUAAUGGCUCUAACCCAGUCCCAUGAUAGAUAUGAUGGCUCUAACUCAGUCCCAUGAUAGAUAUGAUGGCUCUAACCCAGUCCCAUGAUAG